ACCCGCUGAACUUAAGCAUAUCAAUAAGCGGAGGAAAAGAAACCAACAGGGAUUGCCCCAGUAACGGCGAGUGAAGCGGCAACAGCUCAAAUUUGAAAUCUGGCCCCCCGGGGCCCGAGUUGUAAUUUGCAGAGGAUGCUUCUGGCGCGGCGCCUUCCGAGUUCCCUGGAACGGGACGCCACAGAGGGUGAGAGCCCCGUCUGGUCGGACGCCAAGCCUGUGUGAAGCUCCUUCGACGAGUCGAGUAGUUUGGGAAUGCUGCUCUAAAUGGGAGGUAUAUGUCUUCUAAAGCUAAAUAUUGGCCAGAGACCGAUAGCGCACAAGUAGAGUGAUCGAAAGAUGAAAAGCACUUUGAAAAGAGGGUUAAACAGUACGUGAAAUUGUUGAAAGGGAAGCGCUCGUCACCAGACUUGCGCCCGGCGGAUCAUCCGGCGUUCUCGCCGGUGCACUCCGCCGGGCGCAGGCCAGCAUCAGUUCGCCGCGGGGGACAAAGGCGGCGGGAACGUGGCUCCCCCGGGAGUGUUAUAGCCCGCCGCGCAAUGCCCUGGGGCGGACUGAGGUCCGCGCUCCGCAAGGAUGCUGGCGUAAUGGUGACCAGCGACCCGUCUUGAAACACGGACCAAGGAGUCGUCUUCGUAUGCGAGUGUUCGGGUGUGAAACCCCUACGCGUAAUGAAAGUGAACGCAGGUGAGAGCUUCGGCGCAUCAUCGACCGAUCCUGAUGUUCUCGGAUGGAUUUGAGUAAGAGCAUACGGGGCCGGACCCGAAAGAAGGUGAACUAUGCCUGUAUAGGGUGAAGCCAGAGGAAACUCUGGUGGAGGCUCGCAGCGGUUCUGACGUGCAAAUCGAUCGUCAAAUAUGGGCAUGGGGGCGAAAGACUAAUCGAACCUUCUAGUAGCUGGUUUCCGCCGAAGUUUCCCUCAGGAUAGCAGUGUUGAACUCAGUUUUAUGAGGUAAAGCGAAUGAUUAGGGACUCGGGGGCGCUUAUUAGCCUUCAUCCAUUCUCAAACUUUAAAUAUGUAAGAAGCCCUUGUUGCUUAACUGAACGUGGGCAUUCGAAUGUAUCAACACUAGUGGGCCAUUUUUGGUAAGCAGAACUGGCGAUGCGGGAUGAACCGAACGCGAGGUUAAGGUGCCAGAGUAGACGCUCAUCAGACACCACAAAAGGCGUUAGUACAUCCGGACAGCAGGACGGUGACCAUGGAAGUCGGUAUCCGCUAAGGACUGUGUAACAACUCACCUGCCGAAUGUACUAGCCCUGAAAAUGGAUGGCGCUCAAGCGUCUCACCCAUACCUCGCCCUCGGGGUAGGAACGAUGCCCCGAGGAGUAGGCGGACGUGGGGGUCGUGACGAAGCCUAGGGCGUGAGCCCGGGUCGAACGGCCCCUAGUGCAGAUCUUGGUGGUAGUA
rnacentral:rRNA from 2 species